UACAGAAGCCCCGAGCGUUACCCGGAAUCACUGGGCGUAAAGGGUGCGUAGGCGGUUAUAUUAGUCGGAUGUUAAAUCCUGGGGCUCAACCUCAGGCUCGCAUUCGAAACGGUAUAACUAGAAGACGUCAGAGGUAAGCAGAACUCUCGGUGUAGGGGUGGAAUCCGUUGAUAUCGAGGGGAAUACCAAAUGCGAAGGCAGCUUACUGGGACGUUCUUGACGCUGAGGCACGAAAGCGUGGGUAGCGAACGGG
rnacentral:misc_RNA from 1 species